GUUAGGUGAAGUGGAGUGUGUGGUGAAGUGGAGGUAGGUGAAGUGGAGUGUGUAGUGGAGUAGGUGAAGGUAAAGAUGGGAAAUUCUAACAGGGAGUUACCCCUCUUUGCAACCAAUGGUGCUUGUGAGGGACCGAAGUGGCAGGGUGCUUAAUAGUAAGGAGUUCUUGGUUUCUAGUUGGAGAAGACUUCCCCCCUCCCUUCUUUGAUUUUGAGGUCUUUAUAUAUUUUGUUGGGCUUAAGAUGAACAUGAUUAAGGUUUCUAAUAUAAUGGGCAUUGACCCAAAGCCAUUUGAUCCCAAGACAUAUGUAGAAGAAGACAUCUUUGUGGCCAAUGAAUCUGGAUCUAAGAAACGUAUUCGUCUGGACAACAACAUUGUCCGUUGGAGGAUUGUACGAAAUCCAGAUGGCACAGAAUCUUAUGAAAGCAAUGCACGCUUUGUGAGAUGGUCAGAUGGCAGCUUACAGUUAUUGAGGUUUUAUUAAGGUUUGAUAGGCUUUGAUUUCUGAAAUUUGAAAUGGAUUUGAUGUGUUUUAUUCACAGAAAUCCGCAAAAAUUCGAAGUCAUUUCGCUUGAGACAUCACCCCCGGGAACAAGUUUUCCAACUUCGGCGCUUUCCG